GCCGGGCGCGGUGGCUCACGCCUGUAAUCCCAGCACUUUGGGAGGCUGAGGCAGGUGGAUCACCUGAGGUCAGGAGUUCGAGACCAGCCUGGCCAACAUGGUGAAACCCCGUCUCUA
rnacentral:SRP_RNA from 1 species